GGGGGCGACCUGGUCUCGACGUGGGUCGCGAAGCAGCGCAGGGCAUACCGAGGGUCGGAGCACCUCGUAAAUCCAACCGAAAAUUAGAUAGUCGCCAACGACGAAUCUUACGCUCUGGCCGCUUAAGGCCGGACGCUGCACCGACUGAUUAGCGGGUCGGGCCGGGCAACCGGUCGCAGCGCCAUUAACAGCUAAAGUAAGGAUGCACUCCGCCGCGUGGUGCAUCACGAAAACCUAGCGGAUCGCCUUUCAUCAGCCUGCCGGGUCGGCGGGUGACGGGUUAGACCAAAUGGCCAGGCUAAGUAUGUAGAACUGUCUGUGUAGGGCUUGCGGACGCGGGUUCGAUUCCCGCCGCCUCCACCA
rfam:Methyloversatilis sp. RAC08, complete genome.